AUAGAAUCUAACUCUCAUGAUGGUCUGCAGAGGCUGGGAGGCUCAGCAGUGCCCUGCACAGGUCAGAAGUGGUGACUCAGGUAUGUAAGGGACCUGCCAAGUGUCUGCAGAAUCUGGUAUGUCUUCCCACAUCAUGGAGGUUGUGGGUCCUCUCCCUAAAACUGUGCAGAAGACCUGCACAUCACUGUCUGGAGGAUGUGAGGCUUGUUGCAAUAUUGUGUAAUCGACACCUCAACUGCCUGUUGUGCCCACAAUUGAAUCUUCCUCAACUUAUUUGUUAUUAUCUUUCCUUGAGUAAUUUAGGAGAUGCUUCAGUAUUUCAAAAUAUCUGGGGUUUUUUGGUUAUGGUUUUUAUCCUGUUCAUAUAACAGAUAGGAAUGCAUAUUCUGAACACGGGAAAACCAUCUACACAGUAGAAGAAAAAGAUCAGCAAUCCAAGGAGGAAGUGCCCACAUUGUGAGUCACCAGCUCCUGGGAGAGAAAGCUAAUGAGCAUGUGGACACGUGCUAACUUGAGGACAGACAACAAAACAAAAUGUUUUAAUGAAAGAAUGUCCCUUGAUAGCUGGCGUAAUAAAUCUUUAGCAGAACCACAGUAACUUUCACCUUUGAGUCAGCAUGGAGACAGACUGCAAGUAUUUGAAUACUCCGAACCUGGGACUAGGAUUUCAAAAACAAGAUAUGGUCUGCCCUCGAGCUGCUCAGUCCCAUGGUGGGACAAUGUGCAAGUAGAGAUCCAUGACAGUGUGACAGUGCUGUCACAGGAGCACAUUUGUGUGCAGAGUAUCUCUGCUGUGGGGUGCGGGAUGCAUGACCAGGAGAUUCAGAGAGCCAGCCCUUGCCUGGGGCGAGGGAGGCUGAGGGCUUGGUGAGGGACCUGGGGUGGGCUGGACUGGCUGUCCCUACCAGUGGCCUUGGCCAGGUGGAGGGGAGUGUGCAGAGGUGGGAGAUGACCUCUGGGAGACGUGGCCCACUGUAGUGGGAGAGGACACGGAGACUGCAGAUGCCUUGCUAUAGCCUGUGCUGGAAGCUGUGAGUGAUGCUAAGAAGGAGCGGA
rnacentral:lncRNA from 1 species